AUCCUUCUGUAUUCUCAAUAAAUUACGACCUCCUCCUGUCAUUCAUACCUACCUUUUCCUUCUAUGCCCAAUCUCUGUGUUCUCGAGAUCUCUUCUGCGUAGCUUAGCUUCCUCAAAUUUCAUAUUCAGAUCUGUGUAGAUCGUUCUUCGAUCUACCUUUUGAAUAUGGUUUUGCUUUAUUUCCCUAAAAGCUUGGCGAUUGACCAAUGGAGCGCUGGAAUCGUUCGAUUUCCGUCAACGUGUUUCCGCCGGUUGACGAGGAGCUGUAGAUCUGAUGCUUUUCGCAAUGGUUCGAUGGAGCUGAGCAUCAGAUCUCUUUGGUCUUCAGAGAUUUGUUGAGGUUGGAGCAGUAAUUUGAGCAACCGAGGUGUUAUUUUACCGAGGCUUCAACCGUUGUUUGCUAGAGCUUUAUCGAUCUGAAUAGAGAUGCAAGGACUAUUGAAUCGGUGCUGCCGUUGUUUUGCAUCAAACGGUUUAGACUGGUAAUCUUCGAUCGAGGGUUGAAUCAGCUAGCGUGAUGGUGUAUUUAAGGUUAUAAUAGUUUAAUUUAUUGUCUACAAUUAUUUAAAUGGCUCAUACGCAUUAGUUUUUAUUUAUUUAUGCACGCAUAUGUACGAGAGGAUGAAAGAUUGAGCGACGUUGUGAGUUAUGAGAGGAAAAAGUGAGGUAUUUAUUGUCAUGUUACCAGGCCUUUGCCAUGUUGGGUGCGCUCGCAUGGCAGGUCAAAAGUACAUAAUAAAAGUAUUUAUUUUGUGUGUUGGAGAGGAGAAGGCACGGGGUUUUGCCCGGCUCUCCUCUCUUUGUGUGUCUCGUGUCCUUUUUGGCUCUGCUCUUUCUUUUUUCCUGCGUCCAACAGCUUUGCGUCGAUCAGUGGUUACUUGUCGUUGAAUAGGCCUUGGGAUUACUGUUGUGUAUUUUGUAGUCAGGCCUAUUCAAAGACAAGUAACUCAUGUUGAUUUGCUAUAUGCUCCACGGCGAUGGAUACAAGCAACGUUUCUACUUCAGCACUCCACUAGAGAGUUGAUGCAUAUCAAAUGAUGAUGGGUGGCUGUGCCUUCCAAUAAGCUGGAGGCGCAUUGGUGCUGGCUGAAGUUGAAAUUUUUGGUGCUGCGCUCGACGUAUACGCCGCUUCUAGUUAAUGUGAAGCUUUGUUUACUCUUGUCCAUCAACAAAUGGAGCUGCUGCUGCUGUUGAAGAUUUGUUAGCUUGUGUUUGUGGUGCUUCCUGCAUGAGCUGUGGUCUGCGUGAUCAGCAAGUUAACAUCGCUUGGUUUUACAAGCCUUCAUCCAAGAUGAAGUGUUGACUGAAGAUGUCAGAGCUUGUUGCUGUUGCUGGUUUUGAUCUGUGGUUAUCAUUGUAUUUUGAAGCCGUGCUUUUGUGUAAUCAGCAAAAGUAUCAACACCUGUUGGUUUUGCAAGCAGGUUCAUCAAACAUGAAGUGUCUGACAGAAGAUGUCAGUCUGUAUAUCCAAAGGAAUUUAAAGAAAGCGUAUUUUCUGUGCCUUCAAUAAUUUCUAAUUGGAAAAGUGAAGCUAGCUCGUUUGUAGAGUUGAUCUGCUAUUUCUCUUUGGAAGUAUUUUCUCAGGAAAACGUUGUAGCAAGCAACUGAUAUGUAGUCUCGAACUGUGUUCUUCUUGUGCUUUCUGGCGUUCUGAGGGCAUGGAUAAUUGCCUGCCUCCAAACUGGAGCGUUUCUCAUGUUUGUAAGGAUGUUAAAGACAGUUGCAGUUUUUACACUGGCAGUGUGCUGUUGCGAAUCUGCCGGUUCGACAGUGUCUAGUUAGAAGAUUCUCUCUUUAGUAUAGAGAUACUGUUGGAGACACCGUCAAUUCCACUUGAUAAUUUGAUAAUUUGGUUUCAGAUGGGCUUUGUAUUUAUUAGUAGAAGAGAACUUGCAUGCAGGAUACAUUGUUGCAAUGUUUCUUGACCGAGUAUGGUUUGGGUGUUGUGGUAGUCUUGGCAGUACAUGUUCAUCUUUUUAAAAAGUUAUUAAACUUGAGAAUGUUUUAGAUUUUAUUAUUAUUAUUAUUAUUAUUUCAUUGU